rnacentral:rRNA from 1 species
AACGCGAAGAACCUUACCCAGACUUGACAUCGAUCGCAAGCCUCAGAAAUGGGGCCCUCCCCCACAAGGGGACGUGAAGACACUUGUUGCAUGGCUGUCGUCAGCUCGUGCCGUGAGGUGUACGGUUAAGUCCGCCAACGAGCGCAACCCUCGUCCUGUGUUACCAGCAUGAAAGAUGGGGACUCACAGGAGACCGCCGGUGUAAAUCGGAGGAAGGUGGGGAUGACGUCAAGUCAGCAUGGCAGUUACGUCUGGGGCUUCACACAUGCUACAAUGGGCGCAACAGAGGGCAGCGAUACCGCGAGGUGGAGCCAAUCCCAAAAAUACGCCCCCAGUUCAGAUUGCAGUCUGCAACUCGACUGCAUGAAGGCGGAAUCGCUAGUAAACGCAGGUCAGCUAUACUGCGUUGAAUACGUUCCCGGGCCUUGUACACACCGAGUAUA